rnacentral:misc_RNA from 1 species
ACAAAUCAUCAUAGUCGUGCGCUCCGGCGCACCGCUAUAUACACCCCAAGCCUGGGAAGAGCAGCGAUGCUUGGAACGGCUUUGGUUGCAGCCCUCGGGCUGUAGGCUAGGGAGCCGCAAGGCGAACUGGCCACAUAGACGCUUGCUUAGUUUGACAGAGUUUAGUUGACAUUUCAAAAGUA